CCCAGACUCCUACGGGAGGCAGCAGUGGGGGAUAUUGCACAAUGGGGGGAACCCUGAUGCAGCGACGCCGCGUGGGUGAAGGAGCGUUUCGGCGCGUAAAGCCCUAUCGGCAGGGAAGAAGGAGGACGGUACCUGACUAAGAAGCCCCGGCUAACUACGUGCCAGCAGCCGCGGUAAUACGUAGGGGGCAAGCGUUAUCCGGAUUUACUGGGUGUAAAGGGGGCGCAGACGGCAGCGCAAGCCAGGAGUGAAAGCCCGGGGCCCAACCCCGGGACUGCUCUUGGAACUGCGCGGCUGGAGUGCAGGAGGGGCAGGCGGAAUUCCUGGUGUAGCGGUGAAAUGCGUAGAUAUCAGGAGGAACACCGGUGGCGAAGGCGGCCUGCUGGACUGCGACUGACGUUGAGGCCCGAAAGCGUGGGGAGCAAACAGGAUUAGAUACCCCCGGAA
rnacentral:rRNA from 1 species